GAUGAACGCUGGCGGCGUGCCUAAUACAUGCAAGUCGAGCGAACAGACGCGGAGCUUGCUCCACUGACGUUAGCGGCGGACGGGUGAGUAACACGUGGAUAACCUACCUAUAAGACUGGGAUAACUUCGGGAAACCGGAGCUAAUACCGGAUAAUAUAUUGAACCGCAUGGUUCAAUAGUGAAAGACGGUUUUGCUGUCACUUAUAGAUGGAUCCGCGCCGCAUUAGCUAGUUGGUAAGGUAACGGCUUACCAAGGCAACGAUGCGUAGCCGACCUGAGAGGGUGAUCGGCCACACUGGAACUGAGACACGGUCCAUAGUCCUACGGGAGGCAGCAGUAGGGAAUGUGCCGCAAUGGGCGAAAGCCUGACGGAGCAACGCCGCGUGAGUUAUGAAGGUCUUCGGAUCGUAAAACUCUGUUAUUAGGGAAGAACAAAUGUGUAAGUAACUAUGCACGUCUUGACGGUACCUAAUCAGAAAGCCACGGCUAACUACGUG
rnacentral:rRNA from 1 species